GAUGAACGCUGGCGGCGUGCCUAAUACAUGCAAGUCGAGCGAACAGACGAGGAGCUUGCUCCUUCGACGUUAGCGGCGGACGGGUGAGUAACACGUAGGUAACCUACCUAUAAGACUGGGAUAACUUCGGGAAACCGGAGCUAAUACCGGAUAAUAUUUCGAGCCGCAUGGUUCGAUAGUGAAAGACGGCUUUGCUAUCACUUAUAGAUGGACCUGCGCCGUAUUAGCUAGUUGGUAAGGUAACGGCUUACCAAGGCAACGAUACGUAGCCGACCUGAGAGGGUGAUCGGCCACACUGGAACUGAGACACGGUCCAGACUCCUACGGGAGGCAGCAGUAGGGAAUCUUCCGCAAUGGGCGAAAGCCUGACGGAGCAACGCCGCGUGAGUGAUGAAGGUCUUCGGAUCGUAAAACUCUGUUAUUAGGGAAGAACAAACGUGUAAGUAACUGUGCACGUCUUGACGGUACCUAAUCAGAAAGCCACGGCUAACUACGUG
rnacentral:rRNA from 1 species